UAUUUUUUUCCAGAAAAAAUCUAAAUUUAUUUUUAUACAUGUGUAUAUAUAUAUAUGAAAACAUUUUCUUCAAAUGUUUGCUUGCUGUAUUGUGAAAAUAGUAACGAAGGUAACCUAAGAUUCUUACAAAGUACCUAUUAUACAUAAAACUACAAAUAUGUGAGAUGUGCAGAAAAUAUACCGGAGCAGAGUAAAGUUUUCCAACAUUCUACAAAGGAUUACAAAUUUAACGUACAUAAAAGCAACAACCAUUAUCGUCCUCUACGGGAAAAAUAAAGUAAAAAAAGUCAGAAAAAGGAUUGCAUAAAAUGUGGAAUCACGAAAGCUUGAAGUAGUUCCUCGAGAUUUCCUUUUGGGAUUCAAAUCUUGCGUUUCAACCUCUCGAUGCUUGUUUGCAGAAAGGUUGGUACAUAAAGUUAAAAAGAAGGAAAGAAGAAAACAAGAAGAAGAGG